rnacentral:rRNA from 1 species
UACGGAGGGUGCGAGCGUUGUCCGGAAUCAUUGGGCGUAAAGGGCGCGUAGGUGGCCCGGUCAGUCCGUGGUGAAAGCGCGGGGCUCAACCCUGCGUCGGCCAUGGAUACUGCCGCGGCUGGAGCACUGUAGAGGCAGGCGGAAUUCCGGGUGUAGCGGUGGAAUGCGUAGAGAUCCGGAAGAACACCGGUGGCGAAGGCGGCCUGCUGGGCAGUGGGGUGAAGACCCCUUCAAGCUGACACUGAGGCGCGACAGCGUGGGGAGCAAACAGG